rnacentral:rRNA from 1 species
AACGAACGCUGGCGGCGUGCCUAACACAUGCAAGUCGAGCGGGAAAGUUCCCUUCGGGGAGCGAGUACAGCGGCGAACGGGUGAGUAACACGUAGGCAACCUACCCCGGAGACCGGGAUAACCUGUCGAAAGGCGGGCUAAUACCGGAUAAGACCACGAGGGCCUCGGCCCUUGAGGUAAAAGGUGGCCUCUGCUUGCAAGCUAUCACUCCAGGAUGGGCCUGCGCGCCAUUAGCUAGUUGGGAGGUAACGGCUCACCAAGGCGAAGAUGGCUAGCUGGUCUGAGAGGAUGGCCAGCCACACUGGGACUGAGAUACGGCCCAGACUCCUACGGGAGGCAGCAGUGGGGAAUCUUGCGCAAUGGGCGAAAGCCUGACGCAGCG